rnacentral:tRNA from 1 species
UUAAUUGAAGCCAAAGGGGAGGCACCUUAAUGUUAAUAAGAAAAAUGAUAUAAAAUUAUCCAAUUAAA